rnacentral:rRNA from 1 species
GACGAACGCUGGCGGCGUGCCUAAUACAUGCAAGUCGAAUGAGGUGCUUUUGUAGCAAUACGAGGGUAUCCUAGUGGCGAACGGGUGAGUAACGCGUUGGUGACCUGCCCCAAAGUGUGGGAUAACAGUCCGAAAGGAUUGCUAAUACCGCAUGUGGUCCCCGGAUUUAGAAACCGGUGACUAAAGCAGUAAUGCGCUUUGGGAGGGACCUGCGUCCCAUCAGCUAGUUGGUGAGGUAACGGCCCACCGAGGCGACGACGGGUAGGGGACCUGAGAGGGUGGCCCCCCACAAUGGAACUGAAGCACGGUCCAUACACCUACGGGUGGCAGCAGGAGGGAAUAUUGCACAAUGGGCGAAAGCCUGAUGCAGCAACGCCGCGUGUGCGAAGAAGGCCUUCGGGUCGUAAAGCACUUUUCUGGGAGAUGAGAAAGGACAGUAUCCCAGGAAUAAGUCUCGGCUAACUACGUGCCAGCCGCCGCGGUAAAAC